AAAUAAUAUAAAUCGUGAAAUGUUUAAAAUUCACUCAUUUUUGAUAUUAUGUAAAGGUAUACUUGGUCAUGUUUACGAAGUAUACAAUUUCAUAUUAGUAUUCUAAACUAAGCCCGAUUAAUGCGAGGUAAUUUUGUUCGGUGUAUUCAUUGAAGACGUCAGAACUUCAGUUUUGUUGCUAAUGAUCGUCGGCUAGUUUUUCUCGUUUUUCUUCUGUGUUCUCAGAAAACUCAUUCGCGGCUGCAGUUCAAUACGGAGAUAGAAAAUAGAGGAGCAAUUGAACCGAACGGUUAUCAACGCCAAGCUUGGAUCAGGGGAGCGCAUUCGUUUCCGGUGGACAGCAAGCAAGACGGAUAUUUCCUGCAUUAGAGUGCCAACUUCAAAUCUUAUUUACGGACGAGGUCCAGAAAAAACGAAUUCCAUGAAGAAAACACCCGCGUCAGGUCGAUUUCAACGCUACGGAUAGUCGGCAGCAGUUCUGUUAUUCUGUACUCAAUUCCCCUCGAGGUUUUUCAUCAGCGCUUGACAAAUAUGAAGAAUUUGAUUUGACUCUUCCUCUCUGUGUUGCGGAUACAUUCAUCUCGGGAAGCCGUGCCGUGCAAUGUUUAACGUCGGAAGUGUUCGUGGCAACAAAGUUGUACGUCUACGGAGCAGCUCCCCCUCCACUGCCGAUCAUAGUAAAAGCUCGUUGCACCCAUCAGAUAGUUCUAGAAAUAAGCUUAUUCUCUGUGAUUCCUAAUGUAUCAUCUUAAUUACUUAUGUGUCAACAUAUUUUCAUAUAUAAAUAAAGAAAUGUUAAGUCAA